rnacentral:rRNA from 1 species
UACGUAGGGUGCGAGCGUUGUCCGGAAUUAUUGGGCGUAAAGAGCUCGUAGGCGGUCUGUCGCGUCGGCUGUGAAAACCUGGGGCUCAACUCCGGGCCUGCAGCCGAUACGGGCUGACUAGAAUUCGGUAGGGGAGAGUGGAAUUCCUGGUGUAGCGGUGAAAUGCGCAGAUAUCAGGAGGAACACCGGUGGCGAAGGCGGGACUCUGGGCCGAUACUGACGCUGAGGAGCGAAAGCGUGGGGAGCAAACAGG